rnacentral:rRNA from 1 species
GGCGAACGGGUGAGUAACACGUGAGUAACCUGCCCUUGACUCUGGGAUAAGCCCGGGAAACUGGGUCUAAUACCGGAUAGGAGCGCCUGUCGCAUGACGGGUGCUGGAAAGAUCUUUCGGUCAUGGAUGGACUCGCGGCCUAUCAGCUUGUUGGUGAGGUAACGGCUCACCAAGGCGACGACGGGUAGCCGGCCUGAGAGGGUGACCGGCCACACUGGGACUGAGACACGGCCCAGACUCCUACGGGAGGCAGCAGUGGGGAAUAUUGCACAAUGGGCGAAAGCCUGAUGCAGCGACGCCGCGUGAGGGAUGACGGCCUUCGGGUUGUAAACCUCUUUCAGCAGGGAAG